UAUCGAAAAAACAACGAGAUGAUUUGUUUGUUUUGAUUUGAACAUCUUUUAAUUGAUUAUCAUUGGUUUUUUUUCAAAAAUUAAACUAUUUAACUUUGAUGAGAACAUAAGUUCUUGAUUUGUUAAUGUAAUGUUCCCAAUUAGUUUAGUUGUUUAACUAUCAAGGCCAUCUAAUUAUGUGUAUACAAGUUGCAUGCACUACAUUAAUCAACCUGUGUCUUGCUGUUUUUUUCCCGCACCUCUCAUUGAGAUGAUGAUAAUUUCUCUCACUUUUACAUUAUCCUAUCAUCAUUGUCAUUCAUCUAAAUCAAAGGUUAGUAUCGAGUUUUUUAAAGGUUAAAAUGUUUACCUCAAAGAAGGAAGAAGAAGAAAAGAUGAUGUUGAUGAAGGGAAAAACAAAUUUACUCAAGGAGAGGUUUAACAAAUUACGGAUAAAAUACGUUUCAAGAAUGGUGAAUGGUGAAAAGAAGGAAGAUGAAAAGGAAGAAAAGAUGGUGACUUCGAUACUCCUAGAAGAUGAAGAUCAAGAGGAAGAUAAGGAACAGGUACAAGUGAAUGGGAUGGUGUUGAAAGAAAAAGGUUUAUAUCUCAGUAAAGCAUCUUGGAACACUUACCUGAUUGAAGGAAAAGUCAAAGAGAGGUAAAAAAAGAUUCAUUAGCAAGGUUACAACAAAUGGGUUUGGCAAGUUUGGCUUUGCAAACACAACACAGUUACUAGAAAGACUAACAAAGAUUAAGAUUAAGAUGGAGUAAAACAAAAAAAAGAGCGUUCGAUCCACUUGAUGUUAUCGAUUCUAUUUGACUUCAACACUCAACAUGACGAUUGGUUCCAAUUACAGUUGAGAGAAAAAUUAAGAGCAUAUUGCUUUUAUUGGAAAGGCUAAACAACGACACUAAAACUGCUAAUUUUUUGAUGGCUUAUUUUAACAACUGUUGACACCGGAGUAGUUAUCAGUUUCUUUUGCCUUCUGUAAUUGUUAAUCAAUUGAAUUUACAACCAAGUUCUAACAAACAAAUCAAUUCACAACAGAUUGUUAGUCAUAAUUUGCUGAUGGCAAUGUGAUAACUUGCCAAUGAUAACCAAAAAGUCUGCUUAUAUCAAUUCAAUCCUUUGCUUUUCCAGUUUACUUUAAUCAGUAGUCUCUUGUUAAAUCCAGUUGUUUUGUUUGGUAAACAAUGGAAGCAGAUUAAUUUUCAUUUCUUUAAAAUAUUUUUCACCAAUUGCUGUUGGGAUCUUUUUACAUCAAGACUAAUUAUAAUCCAAUUCUGGCUCCAACAAUUUCAUCUCGGCUUUCAAGCAACACACUAACCCAAUAGAAAGACUUCAACAUUCGUCUUAAUUGGCUUUACCAGCUAAUUAUCCAAGUAAUUUGCUCAUAAUUUAAUAACAUCUCAAUCCAAAACAAGACAAAAUAAGCUUAAUCACGUCUGCAUCUCAAUAGACGGCAAAGAAACGUAUUUUUUGCUUGUUAUCAACAAAUUUUCAUGAUGUUACAAUCUAACCAAAUGGUCAACCAAUUCUUGGUUAACAAUUAAUUGCCAUUUCUUAUCAUAAAAUGAAACAAGAAAUGAACGCCAACAUGAUUUAUCAUUUCCUAGCAACAAGUAUUUCCAUCUCUUUGUUAAUUAACCUUUUCAUAAAUUACAGAAUAGAGUCGCAAUCAAACAAAUCAACCUAAACAUUGCUACCAACAACAACAAUUCCUUUCAAACUCAAUGAUGGUAUAAUGAUUAAUUCAACGAUUAUGAUGAUUAACCACACCCGAGAACUGGCAAAACGAACCUUAACCCUGGACAUUAAAUGAACCAUUUCGUGGUGUGUGGCUGAUUGACUCUUAAUAUACAUUCAACCCUUUGCCCAUAAAGUUAAUCACGAUAAUGUUAAUGAUGAUCAUGAUGAUAACCGUACAAGUUAUACCAGAGGAAUGCCCAAAGCUUUACUCAGGAGCAGCACAAAAGAAAGGUUCCUCUAGUUAAAAGCCUAUGGAUUAGAUGAUAAAUUGUUCCUGAACCAGUCAACAUGAUAAUGACGAUGAUCAACAUUAACAGGGUUGUAACGAGAGGAAAAAAAUCAUGCAAAGCUGGAAUAAGAAGGAAAAAAAAGUGGAAACCCAAAAGAAGCAGAAAUGCCAACAAGCCUUCGAUGAAAGGAAAGAGUUAUGUUUACAUUGUCUUUGACUAACACUUAUUUGCCUUUAUCAUCAUCUUUUCACCUGAACAUUCAUCCAUCUUCAAUCAAACCUAAUUGAUUCAGUCCAUUACUUAAUCUCUUUUCUUGAGUCUUUGUUUCAAACUGUUAAUACUUGCACACCAGCUCUGAAUCCUUCACUGUUAGUCACUUUUACCACUUUUAUUCACUUCAUUUGAUUGUCUCCACACUCUUACCCACUUUGAUAAAUCACAUCUACCAAUUUAAUUAUUUAUUCAGAUAGUUAAUCAUCUUUCUUUUUGAGAUAAAUUGCCACAAAUAUGGUUUCAUUUUAAAACACUUUUGACAGGUCUAUGUCUUUAGCUCUUAACUUUCAAGAUUUGAUUGAUGAUUUUAAAAUAGCAAACCAAACAAACCAAUCGAUUGGGUUAACUUGCAAUUGGAAAUACUCAGAAGGCAAUACAACAAGCAAACAAAAUAACAACCAGAAAACCAAAUGAACAACACAAAUCAUUUUAAAGUAUAAUCAAUCAAUUAGCUGUUAUUAUGAAUCAAUUAAGAUGCCAUUUCACAGUGAAAAGUCAGACGAUCCAAUGAAUAUCUUAAAGCCAACCUUAAUCGCUUUCAUCAUGAAUUUUUUGUUGCUUAUUGGAAAGAUGGAUGAAGAGCGAAGGACGAUGAGAAGCGUUUUCCAAAUCGCUAUUGUUUACUUUCCCUAUUUUUGGUGAAAUAUGAUUCUUGGAGUAAGAUUUACACUUGCUGUUGAACGUUUCCAAUUGAAUUGAAUACCAAGCAGACGAUGAUAUAUCUGAGCAGAUAAAAUGAAGAGAGAAAAUAAAAGAGAUGGAAAUAAUUUCAAUUGCUGCUUGGAAAGCAAAAAGUGUGGUUGAAAGGAAUGAAAUUUGAUCCUAAAGAAACAAAGAAUCAGAUUGGAGAUACAAUUUAUCAUACAUUUCUUGUAAGAAAUGGUUUCAUCCUUUAACAGAUUGGCAACUGGCUUGGUAGCUUUUCAUCAUCUUCAUCUUCUUUUACAUCCAUAGAUGCUUUUCACAGGCAUUGUUCAUCUGCCACUUUGUCACCCAAUUGUUGGAAAUCAACUUCUUCCAGAUUUUAGUUACAUCACUGCUUUUUGGUGCUUUCCUUGGUUCCUCUUCAUUUUCAAUGUAAUACUUAUUUUCAAGUAACAUUUUCACGCCUUUUCCCUGAAAAUGAUAACCAUAAAAUUUAUUUUCUCUCCUUCACCAUCAACAUCAUCAUCUUCUUCCUCAUCCAACAAAAAUACUCUUGUUGGUACAAAAAAAUGUCAUGAGAAUGCAUAAAAAAAUCAACAAAAAUGGUGUUGCAUUUUUGCCUAAACAUUGUUAAUUUCAAUUGUCACAGUUUGAUACUUUGCUUGAUGUUAUUACAAUACAAGUAAACAAUUGACAAGAUGAUUGGUUAACCUUUUAUGAAUGGCAAAACCAGAUAAAACCAUGAUUCUGAUGAUCAUCAUCACCACCACCAGAAGCAACCAUAAUAAUAACAAAAACAUGAUUGAUGUUGAUCAAAUUGAAAAUUGUUAGAUUCAAGCAAAGAGCAACAAUUUUCUAGUCAUUACAGCUUUUUUGGUUCAACAUUAUUCCCCAACUGAAACUAUUGUUUUCCCUUUUUUUUCUGUAAAUUGUAAUUUAAAAUAUGAUUGCAAUUUGAUUAGUUGUUAAAUUUUAACCCAAUGAUGACCAUUAUUGGGGUUAAAAAAGCGUAGGCAAUUGUAAUUGUUACGGAAGAAGUUGAACAUUUGUUGUAUGUAUAUCAAGGUAAUGUGUGUAAUACAUAACACUGUUUGAAAUUAAAUGGGGAAACAUUUUUCCCAUUUCAAUUCAGAUGAAAAGUUCAAUCGGAUUUGAUUUACUCUCUCUUCCUUUCUCUCUCUCUCUCUGUUUUAUAGCUGUCUGAUAAUUAAACUUUGAUUGUUAAAAGCCCACUUAAAAAUCAUUAAGAUUGAUUUGGGUUAGUGAAUGGGAAAAGUCAUAAAAAUAUCAAUGGUAAAAAAUUGAGUUAACCUUUUGUAAAUCUUUGAUUUAUGUUAAACGGAAAAAAAAUAUCAAGUGAAACUUGUAACAAUGAAAUUGCGUGUUCCUAUCAAAGUACAAUCAAUUGAUCAUUUACUUUUAACCUUAUGUAAAUUUAAAUUAUCAAACAUAUCAAACAUAAUUGAAAAGGAAUCCUGAAGGCAAUCAAUUGAAACAAAAUCUUCUUCUCCUCAACAUAUGUAAACAUUUUUCAAUGGCUUUUGCCAUUCCUUUGAGGAUUUAUCUAGACUUUUGUUGUUGUUUGAUUAACUUGUUUCAAUCAACCAGAUAGUUUAACUGUUUAGAUUGCCUCUCUCUAAUUGUGAUUAAAACUUUAUAAUGGUUACAUUAUGUACCUAAGUAAUAUUAGAAAUGGUAAUUUGAGAUGUUAAAUAACAAUUAUAAAUAUCUCAUAUGAUAUUGCAAGAGUUGAACAUUGAACACAUUGAACAUGAAAGUUAUAUCAUGAUGAUGGUGAAGGAUAAAAGACACUGAAUUAAGACAUAACAAGAGAAGUGAAAUAAAAGGUCUCAAGAUGUUUAAAGUUGAAGACGAUGGAUGAACAAGAGGAUGGCGAAAAGAGGAAGAGUCAAGGAUUUGAGAAGAGCAUGGAAUAAGCAUGAAAUUUGUCAUCAAGAAAAGGGUCAUCAUCAAUUCUUGAGUUUAUUUCUUUAAGCAUUUAGACAUGAAGAUGAUAAUGGUGAAGAUAAAGAGAGAGAAGAAUCAUUAUCUUCAUUAAUCCUUGGUUAAGAGCUGAAUUUUGUUGAUCCAUUGUGUUUUGUAUAGCAAUGGCACAGCCAUGAGAAGUGAUAGACUUGGACGGAGAGUCAAGUGUUGUAUGAGAAAAUCAUUUGCAGAAUCAUUUUGAUUUUUAUCGAGUAUUAUUAAUUGAUUAUAAUCCUUUGCUUUAUUAUAUCAAGCUCAAUCACUGUCUUUGCUCUAUCAAAUUAUUAAUAGGACCAGUAAUUGCAAGACGAAGAUGAUGGGAAAUCAAAGAGGAAAAAAAAACAGUAGAAGUUGAUUUAUGGGUUUGCUUUUUUUCCCUUCAUUUCAGUUGAUUUCUUUGAAUGGAUCACUGAAUUUAUUCAAUGAUUUAUUUUAACAAUAUAUGACUACCAAGUUUAAACAGGUUUAUCUGGUUAAUCAUGAUUCAAAAAUGUAUUUGUAAAUUGUUUCUCAGUGUCUUCAAUUGUUAAAAGAGACACACACACACAAAAACAUAAAUACAAAUAUUAACACAUAUCCAUUUGGUAACACUAAUUAUAUUCACACCUUGAAGUAGAUGAUUUAAUUGAUUAUAACCUUCAAAUUUAUUGAAUCAUUGUUUAGUUAAACACUUCAAUCACAAUUACUGUUAUUAUUGACAAUUUAUUUCAAGUAGUUAUUGAUAUUGUUGGUGUUAGGAUAAAUCAAAAGUGUUCAUUUUUGUAAAUAUCAUUCAAUUUUAUUUACUUUUUACAAAAUCAAAUAUGGCGCAAAAAAACAAUGGAGGGAUUUUCAGCUUAUUUACCGGUUUUUUUCUGGUUGAAGGUUAAGCUUGAUAUUGGCUUUUUUUUAUUUUAAUGUUUUGCAAAUUUAAUUGAGUCAUUUAAUUAGGUUGCUGGUUAUCAUCAUUCUUUAAGGUGAUGAAUGCUGAUUUAAGCUGAAAAGCAGUGAUAAUGUUAAUGAUGAUGAUAAAUGUAAAUUGAGUCAACUUCUGGUGAGAAUCUCUCCUCUAAUUACAACGAUUGGUACCCAUUUUCAUUGUAAGCAUGACUUUUUGCGGUUCACCAAUUUUUUCACUGAUAUCUUUCUGAUGGUAAACAAGUGAAGAAGUAAAAAACGUAAAGAUGAUGAUACUUUAUUCCUUGAAAAUCACUGUUUGAGGCAAAAUAAGAGGAAGGAGAAAAAGCAAGACUGUGAUGAUGAAGAAAAAAGCUGAUAAUAAAUAUAAUUGUUAACCAAGCAAAGAAAAUUUGUUUUCCCAAGGAACUCAUUGAUUUACAGGUUACCAGACAAAAGGAAGAGGAUGAUGAUAAAAAGGAGAAAGAACAACAAGAGAAAGAUGAUGAUGAUGAUGAAGACCGCAGGAGAGGAGAACAACUGAUUUUAGAUUCAAAAUCUUAGGUCAAGAUACAUCAUCAUUAUCUGCUUGGGGCUAAACAACAGCCACAUCGACAAAGCCAAAAAAAUUGCUGCAACAACAAAAAGCUCAUAAAAAGAAUCAAUGGUUUUUCCUGGUCUUUCUCUUUGAUAGCAUCAUUCUUGCUUACCAUUUAUUUCAUCCUAUUUUGUUUCUCUCUCUUUCUCUCUCUUCCUCUUCCAUUCUUCCUUCAAUCAUCUUUUUCGUCUUACUACUUUAUUGCAAUAGCUUCACUAAUCCUGUGUUAUGUACGAUUUUUCUUGGAAACAUUUUUGAACCCCUGAGAAGGGGAUAAAGAUGUUUCAACUGGCCUAAAGAAGUAUCCAGAAGGAGAGAUGGAAACAACUGAUAAUACCAACUUUGAUAAUGGUCAUUUUUAUCAACAUACGGUUGACAUUUUUAUCGACAUUUGACUCAGUAGCAACCAUAAUAAUCAUCUCAGAGACUUGACCGACUCUCUACAGCCAUUUCCCCGGAACUGUUGGUCAUGUGUCCGCUUAUAAUAUUCAAGAAUAGAGGGAGAAAGCAAAGUAUUAAAAGUUUUUAUCCCUUC